UCCGAGUUGACCCCGGCAGUCCUCCCAGAGUCCCCGCCUUGACGCGCUGGCAACUGGGAGCGGGGGUUGCGCUCGUUGCGGGACUUAACCCAACAUCUCACGACACGAGCUGACGACAGCCAUGCAGCACCUGUCUUGGGACUCCGAAGAGCGACCAUGGUUUCUCACGGUCUUCCCCAAGAUGUCAAGCCCAGGUAAGGUUCUUCGCGUUGCGUCGAAUUAAACCACAUGCUCCACCGCUUGUGCGGGCCCCCGUCAAUUCCUUUGAGUUUCAGCCUUGCGGCCGUACUCCCCAGGCGGGGCACUUAAUGCGUUAGCGCCGGCACCCAGGGGGUCGCUCCCCCAGGCACCUAGUGCCCAUCGUUUACGGCGUGGACUAC
rnacentral:misc_RNA from 1 species